GGACUACCAGGGUAUCUAAUCCUGUUUGCUCCCCACGCUUUCGUGCCUCAGCGUCAGUAUCGAUCCAGGAAGCCGCCUUCGCCUCUGGUAUUCUUCCUAAUAUCUACGAAUUUCACCUCUACACUAGGAAUUCUACUUCCCUCUAUCGAACUCUAGCCAAACAGUAUUAAACGCAAUUCCAGGGUUAAGCCCUGGGCUUUCACGUCUAACUUGAAUGGCCGCCUACGCACCCUUUACGCCCAGUAAUUCCGAACAACGCUAGCCCCCUUCGUCUUACCGCGGCUGCUGGCAC
rnacentral:rRNA from 1 species